rnacentral:Y_RNA from 1 species
GGUUGGUCUGAGUGCAGUGGUAUUUUACAACUAAUUGAUCACAACCAGUUACAGAUUCCUUUGUUCCUUCUCCACUCCCACUGCUUCACUUGACCAGCCUUAA